rnacentral:rRNA from 1 species
UACGUAGGUGGCAAGCGUUGUCCGGAUUCACUGGGCGUAAAGCGCGCGCAGGCGGUCUUCUACGUCUGGGGUGAAAACCCGGGGCUCAACCCCGGGACUGCCUUGGAUACGGGAAGACUUGAGGAUCGGAGAGGCAAGGGAAUUCCACGUGUAGCGGUGAAAUGCGUAGAGAUGUGGAGGAACACCUGUGGCGAAGGCGCCUUGCUGGCCGAUUUCUGACGCUGAGGCGCGAAAGCGUGGGGAGCAAACAGG